rnacentral:tRNA from 1 species
GGGGGUACAGCUCAGUGGUAGAGUGCAUGCUUAGCAUGCAUGAGGUCCUGGGUUCAAUCCCCAGUACCUCCA